AUUUAUCUUGCCCUCAAAUUCAGGAUGGUGAACGCACUUCUGAUAGGGGUGGAAAAACUCUAGAAAUUCUAAAAAGUCUGAGUGAAAAGUUCUGGGGUUAAGGAAUCAAGUGUAAAAAUUAAGGUCUUUCAAGCAAUUGUAUCAAAUCAAGGCCAAGAAUGAAGCCAAAGUCUUACAUUGCAGAGAUGCUUUACAGUUUCUCCUGAUAUGUAGCUUUCCAAAGCACAUUCAAUAAAAAACAUUGCAAUUUUGCUUCAUCUGCAGAGUAAGAGAGUCUUGAGAGAUCUACAUAUAGGUCUAACUGCAAGAAAAGGGUCAGACUGAGAACCCUCCUGGCACAAGAGGGUGGGAGCAGAGUCAUUCAUCAAUUGCAAGUCAUCCAAGAGAAGAAGGUUUCAUUAUGUCUGAUUCAUGAGAAGACAGCAACUGCCUUCUGGGCAGAAACAAGGUUAACUGUAAACCGUUAAACAUUUUCCCUGGGGAGGGACUCCACAGAAAACCUUACCAUGGGACCCUUCCAUAAAAAAAAUUAAUCAUCUGAAACAAGUGAAUGAUUGCAGCAGGCUCCUAGUGGUGGCUCUGAUACUGGUAGUCAUGAUAAGGGAGGAAAAGCUGGUGAAACCACCCUCCAGGUAUGUGAAAACCUGAAGAAUGUCAAGAAAAUUGGAAGUAAACAGGUAAACAGGGACAUCCACAGCCUCACUAUUUUGUGGUGCAACAGAAAUGCCAGUAACUUGUGAGAGCCUGAGAGCAGUAGAUUACCUCACUGUUGCAAUUUACUCUCAGGUUUGGUGUUGCUGUGCAGAAGCCUUUCCCUGAUGCUAGUGCAGUUAACCCCUGUAUACCAGUUUGAUUAAAGCUACAGCUGCCUUUCCAUCUACCUAGUCAGUAGCUCGAGGUCAUCUAGGAAUUAGGGGCUCUAGAUUUAUAGAGCUCUUUGGUAAAACAGGACAUUGUUAUAGUAGGGAGUUAAGACAUCACACCUCAGGAGGGAUCCAGCCCUUUGAAAUUACAUGUAGUCUUUAGAUCUGCAUGAAUUUCUCUCCAGUAAAAACUGGGUGAUUUAUCUGCAUUAUAUUUAUAGCAUUUUGUAUAGCUACAGAGUUCUUUAUUUCUUUGCAUAAAUAACAAAUAUCUUCUGUACAUUUAUUUUUUUCUUCUUUUAAGCUGCAAGAAUUGUAGGAGAUUGAAAAUUUCUGGGUAGAUGUACUUGCUAUAAAUGUGUAUUGUAGAGUGGGAAUAAUAUGGACUAAAUUUUUAUAGACCUCUCUCAUUAAAAGUCACCUUCAGAAAACACUGCUGCACCUCACGUAUAAUCAAAUGACACCUCAUAACCCCCUAACAAUUUUUAAUAUCCCCUAGAAUCUAUUGUAUUAUACCAAGGCUCAGACACUGUCUAGGUAGUCAAGGAAAGAAGUAUACCAUCAUAUUUAAAAGCAGUUAUUGGGACAGCUUUUACAGGCAGUGGGCUAAGACAAUUCAGAAACAAUUGCUUAUGUGAUAGUUUGAGGAUUUGUCCCUGUCAAACAGUUAAUAUUGCUUUAAUACAUGAAGUAGGCUGUAUAAGACAGCAAUAAUGAAAAAUGUCAGGAAAGACAAUAUCAAUUGUUAUUCAACAUCCACAUCAAAGAUUACUUUU
rnacentral:lncRNA from 13 species